rnacentral:rRNA from 1 species
AACGAACGCUGGCGGCAUGCCUAACACAUGCAAGUCGAACGAGAACUUCGGGUCUAGUGGCGCACGGGUGCGUAACGCGUGGGAACCUGCACUUAGGUUCGGAAUAACUCCCCGAAAGGGGUGCUAAUAAAGGAUAAUGUCUUCGGACCAAAGAUUUAUCGCUUUUGGAUGGGCGCGCGUUGGAUUAGCCAGUUGGUAGGGUAAAAGCCUACCAAGGCGACGAUCCAUAGCUGGUCUGAGAGGAUGAUCAGCCACACUGGGACUGAGACACGGCCCAGACUCCUACGGGAGGCAGCAGUGGGGAAUAUUGGACAAUGGGCGAAAGCCUGAUCCAGCAAUGCCGCGUGAGUGAUGAAGGCCUUAGGGUUGUAAAGCUCUUUUACCCGGGAUGAUAAUGACAGUACCGGGAGAAUAAGCUCCGGCUAACUCCGUG